CGUGAAGUGAACUGUGACGAAGUGGUAGGUGUUCUGUGGCUUUACGCUUAUCACGCGCGCUGUUCGAGAGUUUGCGACCUUUCCUUGCAUGUUGUACGCGCAUACCGUCUACCGAGGUUUCGUGUGUGUUUUGGCGCCUUUCACUGCAACUCAGAAUGAAGUAUACUUCAGCGUUCAACCAGGGUUCCAGCUGCAAUCGAACCGUGGCCUCCUGCGUGUGUUCCACCGCACAGCUACGCCGUCGAGGCGCUAUUUCACCGGGCUGCCUUUGCUUUGGAACGAAUAAAGACUCCCACUAUGACAUUGAUGUGGAUAUGAGCCUCCAGGACACUGGCCCUGGACAAGAGCCGACCCUCAUCGAAGUUUGACGCCAAUGUCAGCUAAUGUUCCCGUCACAAGAUGUGGAAGGACUCUGAGAGCUCUGUUGGAUGAGCAACAUUACACUUCAAACAUUGUGUUAAUAUCUGUAUUUUACAAGGUUUAGAUGAUGCUUGAACUGCCAUUGCAUUUUGAUUGUAAUUGGGUCAUUUUCUCAAUUUUCUGGUGACUCUUGUUUUGUCUCAGUUGUCUAUGCAUUUUAUAUGAACUGUCAUGGGAUUGAUCUUUGUUUUUUUAAGCUCACUUGUUUGCACAAUUCAUAAGAUCUACUAGAUUCACGCAUGGAUGUUUGUGGCAGUUUGAUGUUUUUUGUUUGUUAUAGGCACGCUUAGUAUGGUGAAAAUACUGAUACUUGCAUGGGCUGUAAUUACAGUAGUUUAGUACUACUGUAUCGGGUGAUUACAAAAAGAGAAAUUUAGGAUAAGCUUCUUUUAUAGGUACAUAGUUGAAUUUGUUUAUUUUCUUAUUUUGCUUCUUGUUUGCUUAAUAUCCUAUUUUUUGGCAUUGAUAUCAGACAAACAUGCUGCUUUUUGUUUUUUUCCAGCCUCAUUGCUUAGACUGCACUUGUAGAUUGAAUUGAGUUUUAUAGUAUUUUUCGGGAUAGGGAACAUUUAGUUGGGUAUUUUUGCCACUUUAAGUUUAUUCUUAUUGAGAAACUGAGCAGGGAUGUGACGUGGUGUACACAGAUUCAAAUUAUAGGUAAUAGUUUUCUGUAAUGAAAAUGUAUGCCCUAAUAAUGGUAAUGUAUUGUAAGGAGAAUGUAUGUAAAAUUGACUCAACUUCCUUUGGGUAAUGAGGUCAGAGUUGAAAUGUGCUGUGUAAUUAUUACUGUAAAUGGCCCUGCAACACUUCUUUAGCAUGUUCAGAAAAUGCUAAGAAUUGAUAGUCAAAGCUCUUGAGAACAUGAUAUUCAAAAAUUAUAGCGCAGCGUCCGGUAUGGAAUUCACAAUUCUCAGUAAUCUAGAAAUCGCUCCAUCGUCUCCUGACGAAUGAUGCCAUAAGCUGGAAUGAAUAAACAUUCACAAAAAGUUCACGGCAUUGGAUGAUUUAAGCCCAGUGAGCUGCAUAUUUGGAGAAGUCACCACAGGAUGGCGCAAUGUGCCUGCAUAUGCCCAGGAAUAGCAGUGAAACAUAAAUCGUGUCUGAAGAAAAAAAAAAGAAAGUAAAAAGUGUUUAAGGUAAUGAUGAGCACUGAUGGAAGCACUUGCCCUCCUCUCAUCCCCUCAUGCAUAAUUUUCAAGCUCACUUGCUAAAUGCAAGAGAAAGCACUUAAAGCAUGCGGCAAAUUCUUGUAACCAUGUUUGUACUCAACGAAUUCUUAAAAUUUGUAACAAAGGCGUUCUUGUUUAUAAUAACGAGUAAGGUAAUUUUACUUCAAUAUGUUUUUUCCGUAAAAAAUUGAAGUCAUUUUCACGCCUGUGCAAUUUGAGUAAACAGUGGAGCUGGCCAGCAAGCGCCACCACCUGGGGAACACGAA